rnacentral:misc_RNA from 1 species
GCCUUCUGGAAAUCUCCCUUGCUAAGAGCUCGAGUGGCAGCCAUCACGUGAUCCCUGACAUUUUCAGGAGGGCCUGUGAAAGUUUGCCUCUCACUCACCUCGAGCAACCGCCUAAAUGUCUUGCUAAUGACUUUGCGCUUAGCAUCAUGAGUGUUGGCUGCCAUGUUGGGGACCUCCAGUACAGCAUGGCACAAGUGAGGUGGACAGCCUCCAAAAGCUCAAGAUUUAUGUGCAUAUGAUAAGGCAUUUGCCGUCUCCUUUCCAGCCUUUCCUGUUCUGGAGUCUUCUCAUGAUACCGAUUUUG